CACUCUUCCUCUGCACAGGUUUUGAUACAUCUCCCCAACCACUGCAACUACAACAGCAAGCAUCCUCUUCUGUUCCUGCGCUGAACCAUGCUGGAUCUUGCUACAGCUCUCAAUCUCUGCACCGCUGGCAUUAUCUGGUUGUUAGAGAAACUAUCCCUCCCAAAUGACAUUGGCCCUUGCAGCCUUUUUUAAAUGGACUUCACCUUUUCACAUUUGAUGAAGAUCAAGAUAGACUGAAUUAGAAAUCUAUACUUAUAUAAUACUGCUUGAUGGAAUUUACAGAGAUGUCACCUCCUUCCAUUGGAAUCAGAAUAACGAAGUGAAGCAUAUGAAGCCGGCAUUUCCUUUCUAAGCAAGGCCCUUUUGAUUAUUUCAAAGAAGAGUUGUGGCCUGCAGUUUUAAUGAAGUCCAUUCAAUCAAGUCCAUGGAAGCAUGCAUAUUGAUGCCAGCCUUGUAAAUGACUGACCAGGGAACACGUCUGAUGAUAGAGGGCUGCCACAAUCACAUCUCCAGCUCCUCCAGUUUAUUCCUCCCUGCUUUCUCAUCCAUUACUAAUAGGGUGGUAUUCUGUAGGUAUCAAUUAUGAACUUAUACUGGCUUCUUAGUUCUACCGUGCUGGAGAAGAACACGCUGCCAAAACUCCUUUUGCUGAACAUAUUUGCUUAAGACGCUGGGUUUAUAGUUUGGGAAUAUUCAACUCCUGAAAGUUUUUGUUAAGCUCCUAUGAAAAGACUCAAUGGCAGGAAUACCAUUCUAAUGACAUGGGAGCACAGCUUACUUAGAAGAUGAAAAGAGACUUGUAGUCUCAUAGCAAACCCUUACAUUCGUCAAAUAAGAAGCCCUAAUGAUGGGGUGAGAGCCAGUGAAUGCCUAAAACAAACUAUAGAACAGCUAAAAUAAAGCAGCCAGGGGUUUAAGAUAUAUUAAAUUACCAUGAUUAGGAAUUUAGGCAUGGCUCAAUCCUGUUGGAGAGGCUGGGGAGACUGAAAGUACAGCUAUUCAUUUCUGGGGAGAAGGUCAUGGGGUCAGGGAGGUUCACAGGACCUGCUUCCAUUCUUAUGCUAACACAUAAUGCAGACACUGGGGCUUACUGGCCUGGAAGAUAUAAAUGAUUUUGCAAUAAUCCUGGGCCCUGUGUUGGUGAGAGGAGAAGGUCUAUAGCUAAUUGCAGCCCUGCCUCCUUAUAUUACAAUCACACAUGUUAUGAUUCCUGUGACAAGGAAGCAUUUUCCUUCAGUAACAUUAUGUGUGCAAGGUGAUGAUGUUUGGGUGUAGAGAUGCCAGGAUAUCCCAAUGACUGUAUUAGUGAAAGAGAAGUAAGUUGUUGCAAUGGUUGUCAAUUAUUCUGACAUUGUAUUGGCUUUUUGUAUUUAUGUGUGCUUUCUAAAAAAGGAGAGGUUUUCGAUCAUUCCUGUGAAAUAUUGAUAUAUAUUCCUUGAAGUUUUGGGUAACUUUGGCCUUUUUAUGUUGCUCCAAUGGAGCCAGGAAACUUCCUAUAACCAGUAAAUAUAUUUUCAAAAUAAAAAGCACAUUUGUAGAUAAGUACACAAAACACAGUAAUAAACGUGAUAUCCCAUAGAAGUCUGUGGGCUUUAAUAUGAGGCGGAAUUCCGCAAGUGGAUAUUCUGCUGUGUGAAUAGACCCUUACACUGGUCUUCACUUUUUAGACAUAUUUAAUAUGCAUUUGCAAUGUGUUUUUGCUUUUGUCAU